UACGUAGGCGACGAGCGUUAUCCGGAAUUACUGGGCGUAAAGCGCACGCAAGCGGUUGGACAAGUCUGGCGUGAAAUCUCCUGGCUUAACUAGGAGCGGUCGCUGGAAACUGUCGAGCUUGAGGCGAUGAGAGGGGUGCAGAAUUCCCGGUGUAGUGGUGGAAUGCGUAGAGAUCGGGAGGAAUACCAGUGGCGAAAGCGGCACCCUGGCGUCGUACUGACGCACAUGUGCGAAAGCGUGGGGAGCGAACGGG
rnacentral:rRNA from 1 species